AACGAACGCUGGCGGCAUGCCUAACACAUGCAAGUCGAACGAGACCUUCGGGUCUAGUGGCGCACGGGUGCGUAACGCGUGGGAAUCUGCCCUUGGGUUCGGAAUAACAGUUAGAAAUGACUGCUAAUACCGGAUAAUGUCUUCGGACCAAAGAUUUAUCGCCCAGGGAUGAGCCCGCGUAGGAUUAGCUAGUUGGUGAGGUAAAGGCUCACCAAGGCGACGAUCCUUAGCUGGUCUGAGAGGAUGAUCAGCCACACUGGGACUGAGACACGGCCCAGACUCCUACGGGAGGCAGCAGUGGGAAUAUUGGACAAUGGGCGAAAGCCUGAUCCAGCAAUGCCGCGUGAGUGAUGAAGGCCUUAGGGUUGUUAAAGACUCUUUUACCCGGGAUGAUAAUGACAGUACCGG
rnacentral:rRNA from 1 species